rnacentral:rRNA from 1 species
UACGUAGGACCCAAGCGUUAUCCGGAAUUACUGGGCGUAAAGAGUUGCGUAGGUGGCAUAGUAAGUUAACAUUGAAAUCGUGUGGCUCAACCAUAUAUACAUUGUUAAAACUGCUAAGCUUGAGCAUGAGAGAGGUAGCUGGAAUUUCUAGUGUAGGAGUGAAAUCCGUAGAUAUUAGAAGGAACACCGAUGGCGUAGGCAGGCUACUGGUUCAUUGCUGACACUCAGGCACGAAAGCGUGGGGAGCGAACGGG